CGCCUACAGCACAACAGGUCUAUGAGUUUAAGAGUUAUUUCCGCAGUCCUGUCAUAGGGCUCGCCUCUAAUUAUUGUUUAUACUUCGUGUUUGCUGUAAAGUUUCUUGUAUCUUCAGAAAGCCUUUAUUAAUCCACCAGCUCAGCUCAGCCAUUAUGAUACCAGCAUAAUAACGGCUGUGUUUCUCCUGUAAAUGAUAGUUCCGUGCUGAGAGCAGAGUAACUUCCCACACCCCGGAGCUCAGGGCUGAGGAGGGCCUUCAUUUCUUCAGUCAGGUGUUGACGGACCAUAUGCUUGUUUCCAGGGAUACCUAGAGCCGUUGCCAUAGAGUCCGUGAUGAAGGAAGGAUCCAGCACCAUGACUGCACCAUGGACCCCGCUGUUCUGAAGAUUGUCAGCAAAUUCCUGCGAAUGCACACAUUCACAUUCAAGACAAUUGCUUUUCCCUCCCCACAUCUUCAUGUAUCAUCUUUAUAAUAUGCUUCCACUUGCUUCUGUGUUUCCUCAGUAUAUGUCAAUAACGUACCUUCAGGUCGAUGUCUCUCAGCCAUUUAAUGAUGCGCUGGCAGGUCCACACCAAAGGGUCUGUGUUCUGGCUCUCACAUUCUGCUCGUCUUGCUUGCAGCACCUUCAGCCACAUGUACAACAUGGACCACACUGCCAUUUUACAUGCAUUUUAGACCAAAGCUGAUGGAAACAUGCACAUUUGGAAGUUGCGGAGACAUUGGCUGCUCCCAUGGGAACAAAACACAAAUCUGUGCCCAUGUCCUACAUAUUACUUGCAUUGCAUUUUUCUUCUGAGGUCUACUUAUACCAUUUGUGUGGUUUUAUGUUGUAAAAGCAAUCAUAGGUCAUCGGUACAUGACCGAUUUCCAACUUCUUUUUAACCCUUAGAAUGAAAUAGUCUGUGCCUUUAAGAUUGAUAUAUGUAAAUUACAUUUGUUCUGAUUGGCUACUCUCAUUCAAAAAGAAGUCCAGGAUAAAAUACUACUCAUAAUGUCAGCAUGAAUGGCUGGGGCUAAACAGCUGUAGGCUGAAUUGGUGGAUAUAUACGUAAAUUGUUUUUAUGACAAAAGCGGUGCUUUUACAACUUAAAGUUUCUUAUAGUUUCCAUGAAUGAACUGAAUGGACUGGAAAGUAAAUGGUAUGUUUUGAAACUUUUAUAGUGUUUACAUACUACAUCAAACUCUUUUUAUUUCAUAAAAGUAUGGAAAGUGGCAUGAAUGGAAUCCUAACAUUGCAGAUUAAAUAGGGCAUAAUAAAUACCUCAACAUUUGGUUUUGGUUCCUAAGAUAAAGGCUAGGGUUUGGGUAGAAGGUAAGUGUACCACAACAGCACUGAGUUGCAGUAACAUAGAAUAUCCCCAGGUUUAUGGAAAAGGCUGUGGACACAUACAUCCUAAGACUAAGACAGGGGCUUCAAUGCAAAUUAAUUAAGCUAUUCUUAGGUUAUAGAAGUAUGUAAUAAAACUUUGGAACACACUUCUGAACAUUUUAACACAAAUGUAAUGUUUAUUUACUGAAAUCAAUGUAUUGGGAAAAAGAAUAAACCAUAAAUUGUGGCCUAUGCAAAGAUUAGGGCAUAUUUUA